rnacentral:rRNA from 1 species
CCCUUAGAUGUCCGGGGCCGCACGCGCGCUACACUGAAGGAAUCAGCGUGGCUUUCUCCCUGACCCGAAAGGGUUGGGAAACCCGUUGAAUCUCCUUCGUGAUAGGGAUUGGGGCUUGAAAUUGUUCCCCAUGAACGAGGAAUUCCCAGUAAGCGCGAGUCAUAAGCUCGCGUUGAUUACGUCCCUGCCCUUUGUACACACCGCCCGUCGCUACUACCGAUUGAAUGAUUCGGUGAAGAUUCCGGACCGUGUUGUCACCGCUUCACGGCGGUUUUGACGUGGGAAGUUAUCUAAACCUCAUCAUUUAGAGGAAGGUGAAGUCGUAACA